UGCCGCGGGGCGGGCAGUGCGCCUGUGCGGUGGCCGCUGGGUGCCGCGGAACGGAGCGGAGCGGAGCCCCGGCGGCGGCGGCAGGAGGAGGCGGCUGUGACCACCGUCCCUGGGAGAUGGCGGAGCCGGGGGCUGCGCGCAGCUACCCGCGGGCGACAGCCAUUGAUGGAUUCCUAAAAACUGAUGAAAGACAAAGACUGGCAAAGGAGAGAAGAGAAGAAAGGGAGAAAUACCUUGCUGCUAGAGAACAGCAGAUACUGGAGAAGGAGAGAAGAGCAAAGCUUCAGUAUGAAAAGCAAAUGGAGGAGCGAUGGAGAAGGCUGGAGGAGCAGAGGCAGAGGGAGGAGCAGAAGAGAGCAGCUGUGGAAGAGAAACGGAGACAGAAGCUUAAAGAGGAGGAGGAGCGUUUAGAAGCCAUGAUGCGGCGGUCCCUUGAACGCAGCCAGCAGCUGGAGCAGAAGCAGAAGCGGUGGUCGUGGGGAGGAGCACUGGCUGCAGGCUCGGGAGGCAGAGAUGGUGAAUCAGAACAUCCCCCAGCCCCCGCUCUAGGUUUAGCUGCCAACACCCUUCCUCCAGACCCUGUGACCUCUGCUGCUCCUGCUGAUUCCUUCAAUGCAUGUGACAAACUUUCAGCCUCUACAAUGAAUCUGCCCAAGCAAAUGGAGUCGCCCAUCAGUAAGCGCCUCUCCUCCUCCACAGCGGCCAUAACGCAUUCCCCUGACAGAGCUCACCGCAUGCAUCUUAGCCCCAUGGAAAACUUUCUUGUUUCUCGACUGCUGACUCCCACACAAUCAUCUUUAGCCAGAAGCAGAAGUACAUUAAUGCUCUCUGAGCAGUGCAAUAAUCCAGUAUUCCAUAUCUGUCCUCGUGUAGCACCAGCUAGUCCUCUUAAGUCUCCCUACAAGCCUUCCCCAGCCCGAAGCAGCGACAGGAAGAAGGCGACGUCCCCCUCCGCUGCCGACGCCGUCAGAGGGGCGGCUGCAGGCGAAGGCUCUCAGGCUGAGAAGGUGAAGAGAGAGAAGCGAUCCUCAACACCUGUUUCGUCGUCUGGCAUGGGAUCUCCUCUAAGAAGGUCUGAUUCUCCUGCUGCCAUCUCCAGAAGAUCUGCAUCACCUGCAACACCCAAGACAGCUGCAAAGGCUUACCCUCAGUCCCCUAAAACCACCAAACAAUACCCAGCCUCCCCUGUGAAGCACCGUGCCACUGCUCCUCUCAACCAGGAGACUCCCAAGAAGAAAGCAGACAAGGAGAAAGAAAAUGUCAGUCAGCAGAGGUCCCCAGGGGCACGCAGCGAGGAGAGCAGCCAGGGGGCUUCUGAGAAGCAGGUGUCCUCUGCAGGCAAGGCUGAAAGCACUGAAGGGAAGAUCACAGCAGGAACAACUGACGCAGAAGAAGCUUCCAAAAUCCUAGCUGAAAGGAGACGCCAGGCUCGCCUGCAGAAGGAGCAGGAGGAGAGGGAGAGGCAGGAGAGAGAAGAGCAGGAGAGGCUUGAAAGAGAAGAACAGCAAAGAAAGGCAGAAGAAGAAAGGCUUCGUCGAGAGGAAGAGGCUCGGAAGAAGGAAGAGGAAAGGAAACGUGAAGAAGCAGCUGCUAGGAAAAAGGCAGAAGAGGAAGCCAAGAGAAGAGCUGAGGAAGAACAAAUGCUGAAGGAGAAGCAAGAAAAAGAGCUCCAGGCCAAGCUUGAAAAACAGAGAGAGGAAGCAGAACUCAAAGCCCGCGAGGCAGCCGAACAGCUUCGACUGGAAAGGGAACAAAUCAUGCAGCAAAUCGAGCAAGAGAGGCUGGAGCGGAAGAAGAGAAUAGAAGAGAUAAUGAAGAGAACAAGGAGGAGUGAAACACCAGAAAUAAAGAAGGAAGAACCAAAACUGGAAGCACCAUCAACGCUGAACGUGGAAAAGCAACCAAAGGCUCUUGUUCUCAACCAGCCAGAGAUCAAUGGGUUGGCAAGCUGCCUGAAAAGUAAAGGCUUAGAAAGUGCUGCCUCUGUAUUCCCUGCCCAGGAUGUAGUUGCCAAUGGACUAAAAUCAGUUCCAGGACUUAUUCAGUUAGAAGCUGUUGAUGGGAAAUGUAGCAUGGAAGACUCAGCUGAUGAGGUUCAGUCCAUGGAUGUGAGCCCAGUUUCCAAAGAGGAACUUAUCUCUAUCCCUGAAUAUUCACCCAUGAACGAACUGAUGCCUGGGGUUGCUUUGGACCAGAAUGGAACAAGCAAUGCCAAGGCUCUCGAAGACCUCUUGGAUUUCACAGGCCAAGCUACCUACUCCAAGAUGUCCAGUGAUGCCAUUAACCUAGAUGACUGUAACAAAAACCUGAUUGAGGGAUUUAACAGUCCAGGACAGGAAAAUACACUCAAUUCUAUCUGUUGACAACCUCACUUGGCCAGCAGAACAGAGCGAGGUACAGUAUUGUGAGGAACAUCUUAGCCACCACAAACUGCUGUGAUUGCUUCGCCGUCCUCCCCCCCAGCAAAAGAGAGCAUCUGUGGAGGGAGGAAGCAAGCUGGGCUCACAGAUCUGGAAAUUCAGCAUAACCUUUCUUAUCUGCAGCUCUUUGUAAAUAGGCAUCGUAGGCAAACCCCAGCAUAGCCUAGCAACAGAAGGCAUCUGCUAAGUGGAAACGUUUCCUUCAUGCAUUCACAGGAGAAUCGGCAGAGGAGGUGCUUUGGGGCUUUUGUUUUCCUUCAAGUGCUUCCUUUCCUCUCAGUCUUUGGAGCAUUUUUGCAUGAAGAAAACAGUUAAAAGUGGGGCCAGCAUAGCAAAGUGCUGCUUACUCUCAUCUGCUGCCCCAAGUAACAUGCAGCAGGAUGGAGAAACACUGCCCCUGGGAAGCCUGCACAGCUAUAAAGCCAUAGCAGGCUUCAGGGGCAGUGGCACAGUGCCACAGACACUUGGGGUUUGGGGGGCAAUAAUGUAUUCUGAAUUAGGAAGCUGAAAUCAGUUCACUGGCAGAGCUGACUCAGCAUUCUCCUCUCUUUUAACUGGCAGAGAUAGCAGUUCAUGAGGGAUAUACAUCCCCGACGUGGCACUGGCAGUAAAAUAGGAGCUUGGCACUUGGGGGGUGGGGGGGAAGCUUCUGCAGGCUUUGAGCACGUUUGAACAUUUGAAGUUGGAGUUGAAAUUAUCAGAGCUGCAUAAAACUUUGUCUUCUGCUUUUGGCAGAUGCCAAUGGUGCAGAGCCUUGAUGGUUUUGGGGAAGACUUGAGUGUGGCAUUAGGAUGUGAGCUUCAGCUGCUGGUCAAGCACUUCUUUCUCCUUUUCAUCUACACUCAGCUCAACACUUCACUGUCAUUUUGUUUUCUUAACCUGUGCAUUUGACUGGGAAAUGAUUCUUCCUUCAGCCUCAUCAUGCAUCCAGGUAAUUCUUCCUUCAGCCUCAUCAUGCUUCCAGAUAAUUCUUCCUUCAGCCUCAUCCUUCGUCAUGCAUCCAAAUAAUUCUUCCUUCAGCUUCCUCAUGCUUCCAGGUAAUUCUUCCUUCAGCCUCAUCAUGCAUCCAGGUAAUUCUUCCUUCAGCUUCAUCAUGCAUCCAGGCAAUUUUUCCUUCAGCCUCAUCAUGCAUCCAGAUAAUUCUUCCUUCAGCCUAAUCAUGCAUCCAGUUAAUUCUUCCUUCAGCUUCAUCCUUCAUCAUGCAUCCAGGCAAUUUUUCCUUCAGCCUCAUCCUUCAUCAUGCAUCCAGACAAUUCUUCUUUCAGCUUCAUCAUGCAUCCAGAUAGUUCUUCCUUCAGCCUCAUCAUCCACCCAGAUAAUUCUUCCUUCAGCUUCCUCAUGCAUCCUUUUAGACCCUUUUUUUUCCCUUGUAAAUAGGGUAAAAGUGAGGUUUGCUGCUGGUGCACUGCAAGGAAAUGCUGAUGCUGUGCUUUAAUACUUCAAUAACGAGUUCUUGGCAACUUUGGUGCAGGUGUAGACUUCAGAAGUGCAGCUGAAGAGGUCUGAAUAACUACUGGAUUCCAAAGAGCCUUUUUUUGCUGGCAGGGGGAGUGUGGGAGCUUCCUCCUCGUGGUUGUUAUGUGGAGACUUUUAGUCACUAGUGGCACUGGUUAAGGUUAGUCUGGGAGUGACUGUGUGUUUAAAAAGGUGCUUGUGGAGCAGCUGUAAACAAGGUAGGCCAAAUGCCUCAUGUAAUCCCUUCCAAUACAUAUAUAUAUAUCUAAUAGCUGUAGUAGAGCCAAAUGAGUGGCUGGAGGAGGAGAGGACACAUUCAUCUCUGAAGAUGCAGACACUUGAUUCAUACCAGCAGGCUUUCUGUCACAUGGGAGAAGCAUUUUUGUCUUUCUCAGAGGCUCAACAAACCCAAGUUUUAGGCAGCAGCAAAACAAUAAGCAGGAAUCCAAAGGCUGGGACACCUUUGGGGCACACUGCUUAGAGCCCUAAAGGUUCUGCAAGCAUCUGGCUGGAAGAAUUCACAUCAAGCUAUGUCAUUGUUAACUUCGGUGAGCUACAGCUGUGUGCUGCUCUGAGGACACUUCUGGUCCAGGUUCUUCUCAGAAUAAAUGAUAACUCAAACUGCCUCUGGACACUACCACCCAAGAAGUAUUUGGGAUUCUGUGGGUGUUUUCUUUGCCUUUCUGUUAGUUUGGGUUUGGGGUUGGUUUUUUUCCCCACGUGUAAGGGACUUCCCAGCAUAAGUUAAGCUCAGCUGGAGCCCUGCUCCCGUGCUCUUUGCAGCCAGCAAGAGGCAAUGACAUGGUGUGAGGUGUAAAGGAAUCAGACCUACACCAAUCCAGCUCUGUUCCUGUUAGUGCUCCUCAGAGAAACCCUUCCUUGUGAGUGUGCAGUAAGCUGUAGCAUGGUGCUGUGUCUUCCACCUUAGUCUCCUUCAUCUCUUUCUCACCUCAUGAGCAAAGCAAGCCAGCUGGUGUUGCUGUGGUCCCUUGUGUUUGACAGGUGUCACAUUCUAUUUUAUUAGGGUGUCACUGUAUAAGCUGUAGAUUUCUGUAUUUGCAUGACCUGUAUAGCAUGUAUAAAGGUGAAAUACAUUUUCAUUUAUGACUCCCAA